GAUGGACCCAGACUGCGUGUAUGAUGCCACCUGCCACCGCGCCUGUAGUACGCAUGCACCGCGAUCCCGGAAGGAGAGCCCACAGAAACCGGACGCACCUAGCGGGAUCGCGGCACGGGGGCGAUGUUGAUCCUCUGAUUUAAGUAUCACGUGUCAUAAGUAAAUAAUUGAUGUUCGCUAUAAAUCUUUCACACGGUAUUCUUUUGGGUAUUUUUUAUCGUUUGUUCGCUCUCAGGUGCCAGCCUGUAUGUUUAGAUUACUGUUCUAUCCAUCGGGCGCUAUAUAGGAAAUAGCACUGCACAAAAACAAUCUUCCCUUUUUCCCAACCCCGAUGACAUUUUACAAUGAUCGUUCUGGGAAUUCUAGGCUUAAUGCAUUCGCCUUAAGUGUCAUUCCAGAUUAACAUGUGCAGCUCGCACAUGCUAAGCAGGGAAAACACUUUCCGCCUUACCUGGAUUUUCGUAAAGAUGACGCUUCCUAUUACACAAAUUUCCAUUAAAGCGUAUUAAAUUUGCUAAUCACAAAAAACAACAACAACCGAAAAUUUCUAAACCGCUUUACAGGCCAAUUAACAUAUAUUCUAUAAUAUUUAUAUUAAAUGAAAUUUUUGAACAUAAAAUUAACAAUUUUAUGUAUACUCGUCAAACAAAAUAGAUGCAAUGCUUUAAUUAAAUCAGUUCCAUAUGAAUAGCAAAUGUAUCAGAUAGUAAUUACCUUAAACAAGCGUUAAUAUAUGAAAAAUGGCGACCCCUGUCAACGAUGACGCCUUGUUAUUUCAAUAAUAAUUAAUGAUAAACUCAUAUAAAAGUCGUUUUUUGAACACUUCGUUUAAUCUGCAUCGAUUUUGUACUCAAAACACGAGUUUCACGUGCAUGAUAAUGUUUUCAAAGCUGAGCGCACGAGCUAAUUGUGACAAUGUUUUUAAGUGACUUUACCUAUUAAAGGAAAUGCAUAAGAUUAUUUUUCACUUACAACGCAAGUAUUUGAAAUGAACACCGUGUUUUUGUCACGCGUUUCCAUGUAAUAUGCUUGCCUCAUUUUGAUAAAUGUCCGCCCCUUCAAAUUGUAUGAUUGUGUUCUUCUUCAAUAAUUUAGCUUCGUAACUAUGUUUUUCAUACUGUUUUCUGCCGUUUAGGCCGGUCCAGCCUUCUUGGUUUCAAUGACGCAGCAACGCCGGACGAUCUAGCUUGCCCGGACGCCAAUGUCAUGCGCAGUGACAACAUCGACUGGGUUGCCCCAAGUCUGCACAUGCGCAGUGACAACUUCGACCGGAUCGCCCCAAGUCUGCACAUACACAGUGACAACAUCGACCGGAUCGCCCCAAGUCUGCACAUGCGCAGUGACAGCAUCGACCGGAUCGCCCCGAGUCUGCACAUGCGCAGUGACGCACCACCCAGUCGUCCGAACGCCGCAGUUUUCAGUUUCCGGAACAACGAAAACGUGUCCCACUCGAAGGUGCAGUACCUAAUACAGACUCAACUCAACGUUCCUGUGCGAAGUAUCCAGUUCGAUCGCCUCGAUAUACGGUCAUCGCGACCAGGUGUCGAAUCCCGCUGGGUCGUCAAAUUUCGUACUACAGCGUAUGUGUCAAAAGCUAUACAGUCGGGCUUCUGGUGGACACGGACCGGCUGGUGUUUUACCAGCACGAUGACGUCACUAGACGCGUAACCGCGGCCUAUAGAAACUACACGGAGGUUGUUAAUGAUCAUGCCGUGAUAGCGGCGUCUGCUGAUAACGCAGUGCGCGGGAAACUUAAACGCGCAGUUUCCAGCGGUCGAUGUCACUCAAGACGUUUAAGAUAUUAUGAAGAUAACUAAAUGGAAGUGACUUUUUGAAACUAUGUGACUAUGUCGUUAUGUUAAUUAAGGUUGUUUGGGAUAUGUACACUAGCAUGUACCGACAGUGACUCGAUUAGUACACAUUCAAGUGGAAUACUUACAUAAACGCCAUUUAAAUUCAAACAUCCACAUUCAUUUAUGACAAAAAUACGCUUCCCUUUUGUUGUCGAAGUUUUUGUUUGUGUUGAAUACUUAGGAAUAGAUUACAUCUAUUGAUAAUACUAACUUUUAACAUAUUGAAUCAUUUCCCACUUUAAACACAAAGUUCUAUCAUGUAUACAUUAAACAUAUUUAGAACAAAUA